AUAGGUGUGAGCCACUGUGCCUGGCCGAGAUGUGGUUAUUGACAUCUCAGUGGGAUUGUGACAUAGCAGGGCUGAACAGAGAUCCGGGUACUCUCUGUAUCCUGGGGUGAGACUGUCAUCUAGGGCAGGGGUCUCUGGCCUCUUUGAGAAUCUGGUGCAUGGGACAGACCCUCUAGUCUGGAGAAGCACACACAAUGUCACAUGUGUGACACGUGACAUGCAACAUCAUUCUCAAACAAUAGCCUGCUUUGGAAGGCCCCCCUGACACCCCUACUGCCCUUGGCACCCCACGGACCCCCAGUGAAGAGCCUCUAACCAGGAGAGAGCAAGGGGAGAAGAAACACCAACUGGGAGAGAAAAUGGACAAGAGCCAUCCUCAUGGGGGAUGUGAAUGGGCAAAAGCCGAGGUCCAGAGGCUGAAGACACAGAGAUGCAUCUGUGGGGGGUCUGGGAGAAGUGAACCAGCCAGAGAAGCCAUGAGUGCCUGGGAGCACAGGCCCCAGCUGCAGGAACACCCACGUCUCAGCUCCA
rnacentral:lncRNA from 10 species